rnacentral:rRNA from 2 species
GGGAAUGGGGGCGGACUACCAUGCAGUCGAACGGUGAGACAGGCACGCAGCUUGCUGCUUUGCUGACGAGUGGCGGACGGGUGAGUAAUGUCUGGGAAACUGCCUGAUGGAGGGGGAUAACUACUGGAAACGGUAGCUAAUACCGCAUAACGUCGCAAGACCAAAGAGGGGGACCUUCGGGCCUCUUGCCAUCGGAUGUGCCCAGAUGGGAUUAGCUAGUAGGUGGGGUAACGGCUCACCUAGGCGACGAUCCCUAGCUGGUCUGAGAGGAUGACCAGCCACACUGGAACUGAGACACGGUCCAGACUCCUACGGGAGGCAGCAGUGGGGAAUAUUGCACAAUGGGCGCAAGCCUGAUGCAGCCAUGCCGCGUGUAUGAAGAAGGCCUUCGGGUUGUAAAGUACUUUCAGCGGGGAGGAAGGCGAUAAGGUUAAUAACCUUGUCGAUUGACGUUACCCGCAGAAGAAGCACCGGCUAACUCCGUGCCAGCAGCCGCGGUAAUACGGAGGGUGCAAGCGUUAAUCGGAAUUACUGGGCGUAAAGCGCACGCAGGCGGUCUGUCAAGUCGGAUGUGAAAUCCCCGGGCUCAACCUGGGAACUGCAUUCGAAACUGGCAGGCUAGAGUCUUGUAGAGGGGGGUAGAAUUCCAGGUGUAGCGGUGAAAUGCGUAGAGAUCUGGAGGAAUACCGGUGGCGAAGGCGGCCCCCUGGACAAAGACUGACGCUCAGGUGCGAAAGCGUGGGGAGC